rnacentral:lncRNA from 1 species
UUGGUCGGCGGCAUCCGCCCGCCAUUGCCACCUGCAUUCCGCUUUGCGUUGUAGCACUGCUUGGAAGGCUGCCGGAUCCUCGGUACGCAGCUGCUGGUUGCGCUCGGCUGCACGAGCCUGUUCUUGUGCCCGGGCUGCAGCAUCGGCACAGCGUAGACGAGCUGGUUCCCGGUUCUGCUCGCGGCGUUGCUGAUCGAAAGCUGCCUGCUCCUCAGGAGUACGUGUGACGCGUGGCCUACGUAUUUCGGAGCCGGAGAGAAACUGCUGCGCGCGCGAUCGGCUGCGACGGAGAGCAACGACGUCACUACUGGCGUUGCAAAUCGCGCGGCUCUCUCUUCUUUUUUUCUUUGGCGCAUGCGCAUGGGGUUGCGCCGGAGGAGUUUUCGGUGUACAGGGCGCAUGCACGAAUCAGCUAGCCA